AGUACAGGCUCCGACCGAGGACUGAGGAAGCUUAGGAUGACUAAUAAGAAUGGUUGCGGCGAGUGUUUUGUUGUGGAGGUAUUAGAAGAAUGUGUAAGAAACAUACGGUGCUCAUGAUGCAACUUCCUGGAUGGUGUGUUAACUGUUUAUCAGCAUGUGAAAUCCACAUGAUUGAAGGAGAAGUCUCCCUUGUUAAAGAUCAGCAACGGCAGAUAAACAAUGCAUGAUGCAAUCUGCUCACUAAAAAGAUUACAACAAUACACCCCAUGCAUGUAUUUCUACCUAUCACCUAUGUAACCUUUGUCAUGCUCUUCAGAGAGUCAUCGACGGGAAAAGGAAUUACCGGUAAGUUGACAGGACUUUCCACACUGUUUCUGGUAGCAGCUUAUGAUUGAAUUGAUGGUAGAAGACAUGGCCCACUUAAUCAAAGAUAAUCUGUAUAGAGUGGCACCUUAACCACCACUGGUGAAAUAGAAGAUGACUAGUGGAUGGUCAUCACUUUGCAGCUCACUUUCACUUUCUGCAGCCCAUCUCUUCUCAUUCACAAUCAUUGUCUUUGGAGGAAUGGUGACAGUGCAGUCCUCAUGACUGGGCAGGUCUACUGCAUGUUGACAGCUGAUACUUGUUCUCUAUUUACUCCGAGAGGCCUACUACACAUUGUACCUCAGUUAUGACUGUACUCGUGCUGGCUUCUAUGAUGUUAAU